GGCUUGGUAGUGAAUGGUCCACACCGGUAUGUGAUGUAUAAUUCCAUCGUCUCAAGCGGGAGAGACCUGUUCGAAUCAGGUCCAAGCCA